UACGAAGGGGGCUAGCGUUGCUCGGAAUCACUGGGCGUAAAGCGCACGUAGGCGGCUCUUUAAGUCAGGGGUGAAAUCCUGGAGCUCAACUCCAGAACUGCCCUUGAUACUGAGGAGCUUGAGUCCGGGAGAGGUGAGUGGAACUGCGAGUGUAGAGGUGAAAUUCGUAGAUAUUCGCAAGAACACCAGUGGCGAAGGCGGCUCACUGGCCCGGUACUGACGCUGAGGUGCGAAAGCGUGGGGAGCGAACAGG
rnacentral:rRNA from 1 species